UGCAAGCGGUACUGCAGGAGGUAGCAUACGGCAGAAGAAUGGGUAGGGGAUCGGGGGUGCAAAUUUUCCCCACCAUAGCCAGUGCCGUAGAGGAAUGGUCAAAGUGAAUUUUUGGCAUGCUAUGGUUAUUUUGUUUUUGAGCUAUUAAUUGAUCCUCUCAUUUUUUUGCUCAUUGUAAGGUUUUGUAAAUUUGUUCAGCAAACUCAACCCAUUCUUUCUCCAAUUUAUGCAGGAUCUUGGAUGAAAUUCGUAAGUAUCAGAAGAGCACUAAUAUUGUGAUUAGAAAGCUACCUUUCCAGAGAUUGGUUCAAGAAAUUUCAUAAGAUUUAAGCAGGAGUUGAUCCACUGCCCUUUAGCCUACAUGGAGUUAAGGAGAAUGUUAUAUUCCUAAGGGAAGUCCAUCAUGCACAUGAAAUACAGAGCAAGCUUCUCGUAAAUUUAAUGCUGUCAAAUGUUCCUGUGAAAGCAGCUGCUCUGUAUAUAUCUCAGGUUUGAAAUGUGAAAUACGACCAUUGACCAUUCAUGUCGACUACAUUCCUCAUCGAGUUAAUUUGGUUGCGUUACAAGGGGGCAAUUAUGCUGAGCUUCUUAAUCUAAUUUCAUGGAAGGUUACAAGAGAGAUAUGAAGAAUAUAAGAUGCUUCUUAUUCGGUUGAAAAACAUUGCUGGGCAAUUGCAUCUACGUUCAUUAUACCUCUUAGAAUGACUUAUGUUAGUGGAUUUAUUCACCAUUCGCUAUCUUGAGGUCUACAUUCUUGAAUUAUAAGCUCAUCCUAUCUUGGGACUGCUAUUAUUGUUCUAUGACUUCUACAAAAUUGAGGGCCAGACUUAUCAUUUGUGUAAAUGAGAAUCUUUCACAUAACCUAUUGUUACUCUUUCCUAGACUCUGGCCAGCUCUUCUCAUUGUAACCUUUAGGUUUGCAAGCUUUAUGAUCUCCUUAUGUCAACAUGUGUGAGAGUCUUAACAGUAAUGGCUGCCCCUUUUUGCCUUUGCAAAUUGUGAGGGUAUGAUUGUCCUCUUUGUGGACUAGUUACCAUACUUUAUCCCUAUCAUUAAACAAUAUGUGGCCUCUCAUAGAAAAAGUAAACAAAACCCUUCUCCCAUUGAGAUGCAUAUUCAUUAUUGUCUUGUAGAUAUUUUAGCUGUGUAGAGUUGGUCAUUGGUCAUUGGUCAUUGAAAUCCUCUCUUGUAGAUAUUUUAAAUAGUGAUGUGAUGUCCUUAAACAUU